UUUUGAACAUGGGAUGAAUGAGAGAGUUUGUAGCAACCUAGCAUGGUGCUGUCAUGGAACCUGCAUUUGUGGAAUCUGAACAUCUGGAAAUCACUCUAGGUGAACUCUGGUAUGGUGAGAUCAUAACAAGAGUUUCUUCAUUUGAGCCUGGAGUUCUUUCUCGAUGCUUAGACACUUCCAUUCCAUACAUUUUAUUAGUUGGCACAGCACAAAACCAACCAUGGUGGCUCUAUGUUAGGAGGUGGAAGUUGUGCAUGCCAUUGCUGUCUUUAAUGAUUUCCUGACCGAAUUCACAUCGAACUUUCCUUGAAUCCUUCAAUCCAAAUUAGUUAUUACAUCACCAUUCUGGAACUCAGGAUUCACCCACUCCACGAUGUGGACAAGAUCAUCACUUUCUAUGAUUGCAGCCUUGCAGGUUGGCCGGUAAAACUCUAAAAUUCAACCUUUGAUAAUUAUAGUACCUGCAGACAAUAAAAAGCAAUCAUAAAUAAACCACACUGGUCAUACAUUUGUAUUUAUAACAUGAUAAACAAUCUAAUAGAACACGGAAAUUUGAACAUACUUGCGAUCAAGAUAACCCGCUCCGCCCAUGAUCAAUGUCAACACAGAGGUCCCAUUAUCACUGGAAAAAACCAUGGACAGACCAAAACCUGCUCUUUUCGCGUCCAAGUUUUCGUUGUACUGUGCUUGCUCUCCUCUCUUAAUGCAAUUCUCCUAUUGGAUUCCCUUCUUGAGUGUAGCUGGAAUACAAAUCCAAUUUAUCUGUGAUUAACGUAUUCUAGAUAACUCGACAUGAUUUUAUUCAAGGAUGAAAGAUUGUAGAAAGAAGGUGCAUAUUGACUCAACAGAUUACCUUACACAAAAUUGGUCUCAUAAAAGUGUAUCUGCAUCAUAACACCAUGUGGAACAUGUCUUAGAACAUAUUCGAAUGCACAUUGGACGUUAUAACAUAUACAGAAUGACCACGGAUUCGUAAACAGUUGCAAAUGUACUUCUAUUUACUCAUAUUUAAGGAUUAAAAAACUUAAUUUCCACAAAAGUCUAAAGUGCUGUUCCAAAAAGAUUGUGAAAGCAAAGAAAUUAAUGUUCUUCCACGAGGCUAGAAAGUGUAAGACUUUGCAAACUAAAUGCAACUAAGACAAAAGAACAGAACCAAUCACGAAUUACUGUUUCGGGAAAGAAACCUACACUUGACUGUAGGAAAUGCGGGAAAUCUUGGGCCAGUCGAGAAGUUGCUUCUUUUAAUUUAGAACACAACAGUAAAAUUUGGACUGGCUUCCCUACUGUCGAUAGAUACUUCAGGUUCCCACAACGGUAAGUAGAUAGAUCGUCGACACAUGAAAGGUUCCGUCAUCACUCUGGUAAGACCCUUCUGAGUGCCAUUGUUGAUAGUAUUAGUAAUGAUCCAAGUAUUGCAACAACAAUAUUCUUCUUGAGCUUGCUUGAAUCUGAUUUAAAAAUAACUUAUCAGCAGAUAGAAAAUAUAAAUUCUGAAGGACGCAAUGCCAUUCGCUUUCGUUAAAGGAAAUGCUAACCUAUUGGGCACUCUCCAUGAACAAACUUGCACAGAGCAGUAGGACAAGGAAACCAGUUGAGAUCUUCAUCUCUCUGUCUCAUUGCAGCCUAUGAACUACCAGGUAUUUAAAACGCGUGACAAUGUCCCGACCAAAAAAACAGAAAAACGUAUGAGUGUGGAUUUGUAACCUCAUGCUGCACAAUGAUCCUUAUUACAUGGGGAUGCUUAGUGUACGUCAAUCAAUGGAUAAUGCAAUGUUUUUUUCUUUUUUUUGGAAACGUGGAUAAUGCAAUGUUCAUACUAGAGCAAUUUGGUCAAGCCAACGUAUUUUCUAGUCAAAGCAUUUCAAACAAUGUUCCUGUUAGGGUUAUGUGCUGUGAUACAACUCGAAGUAUUGGUCAAAAGUGAUUAAGUUGAGGACAAUAUAGAUACAUACUAGUAUGUAGCCUACACUGAUUCACUGCACAACAGAUCCCACACCCAGUUUUAGCCCACCAAGUUUUGAACAUGGGAUGAAUGAGAGUUUGUAGCUACCUAGCAUGGUGCAGUCAUGGAACCUGCAUUUGUGGAAUCUGAACAUCUGGAAAUCACUCUAGGUGUACUAUGGUAUGAUGAAAUCGUACAAAACCCAUGCUGCAGUCAUGGAACCUCCAUUUCCAAACGUUGUGUUAGUUGACACGACACAGCAAAAAACCCAUGCUGCAGACCAAAAAAAAAGUAAUCAUUAACCACUAACUGUUCUUACAUUUGUAUUCAUAACAUGAUAAAAAAUCUAAUAGAACAAGGAAAUUUGAACAUACUCUAGAUCAAGAUAACCCGCUGUGCCCAUGACUGAUGUCACCACACGAGUCCCAUUAUCACUGGAAAAAACCAUGGACAUACUGAAAUCUGCUAUUUUCGCGUCCAAGUUUUCAUUGCGCUGGGAUUGCCUCCUCUCUUAAUGCAAUUCUCUUACUGGAUUCCCUUCUUAAAUAGGCUGAAAUACAAAUCCAUUUCAUCAUUGAUUAACGUAUUUUACAUAACUUGACGUGCUUUUAUUCGAGGAUGAAAGAUGGAAGAAAGAAGUUACAUAUUAACUAAACAGAUUACCUUCCAUAAAAUUGGUCUAAUAAAACUGUGUUAGUUUGGUGAUCAGAUUACCCUGUACAAAAGUGUAUCUGCACCAUAACAAUCAAAUGGACCUAAGACAAGAGAACAGAACAUAUCGUUAAUGACUGUUUCGGGAAAGAAACCUACACUUGACUGUCGGAAAUGUGAGAAAGGUUGCAUUUUCUUUAAAUUUAGAACGCCACAGAAAAAAUUGCACCGGCUUCCCCACUGCUGUAGAUGCUUCAGAUUCCCACUGCUGUGAAAAGAUAGAUCGUCCGCACACGAAAGGUUCCGUCAUCACUCUGGCAAGAGCCUUUUGAAUCAUCAAGUGACAAUGAUUCCGAUUCUGACUAAUAUCCCGUUUACUGCAGAAAACGAGAGUGAGUGAACAAUAUUGGACAAAAUAUACAUGGAUAAUUGAUUGGAAAUAAAAAUAAGGGCUCCAAAAAUAAAAAUUACCUCUGAUAACUGGAAUGUGAGAAAUCUUUGGCCAUUAUGCGCCGUCCUUGGUCCAUCUUUCCUUGAGAUGGGGACACCUUUGAAUCUCUAGCUUAUGUAAUUUGGUUAGGCAUUGCAUAGCUUCGACCGUAGGCAGAUACAUCAGAUUCUCACACCAGGAAGUUUCCAACUCUGUAAGAGAUGUAAGGUUGCCCACACUGAUUCACUGCACAACAGAUCCCACACCCAUUUUUAACCCACCAAGUUAUGAACAUGGGAUGAAUGAGAGAGUUUGUAGCUACCUUAUCAUGGUGCCUUCAUGGAACCUGCAUUUAUGGAAUCUGAACAUCUGGAAAUCACUCUAGGUGAACUAUGGUAUGGUGAAAUCGUAACACAAGUUUCUUCAUUCGAGCCAGUUUCUUCAUUUGAGCCUUGAGUUCUUUUUGGAUGCCUAGACACCUUCAUUUCCAAGCAUUGUAUUAGUUGACAUGACACAACACAGAACCUGCACACAGUGAGAAGAAAC
rnacentral:lncRNA from 1 species